UACGUAGGGUGCAAGCGUUAAUCGGAAUUACUGGGCGUAAAGCGUGCGCAGGCGGUUGUGCAAGACCGAUGUGAAAUCCCCGGGCUUAACCUGGGAAUGGCAUUGGUGACUGCACGGCUAGAGUGUGUCAGAGGGGGGGUAGAAUUCCACGUGUAGCAGUGAAAUGCGUAGAGAUGUGGAGGAAUACCGAUGGCGAAGGCAGCCCCCUGGGAUAACACUGACGCCUCAUGCACGAAAGCGUGGGGAGCAAACAGG
rnacentral:rRNA from 1 species